rnacentral:rRNA from 1 species
GUGGGGAAUAUUGGACAAUGGGCGAAAGCCUGAUCCAGCCAUGCCGCGUGUGUGAAGAAGGUCUUCGGAUUGUAAAGCACUUUAAGUUGGGAGGAAGGGCAGUAAGUUAAUACCUUGCUGUUUUGACGUUACCGACAGAAUAAGCACCGGCUAACUUCGUGCCAGCAGCCGCGGUAAUACGAAGGGUGCAAGCGUUAAUCGGAAUUACUGGGCGUAAAGCGCGCGUAGGUGGUUUUGUAAGUUGGAGGUGAAAUCCCCGGGCUCAACCUGGGAGCUGCCUCCAAAACUGCAUGACUAGAGUAUGGUAGAGGGUGGUGGAAUUUCCUGUGUAGCGGUGAAAUGCGUAGAUAUAGGAAGGAACACCAGUGGCGAAGGCGACUACCUGGACUGAUACUGACACUGAGGUGCGAAAGCGUGGGGAGCAAACAGGAUUAGAUACCCCAGUAGUCC